rnacentral:rRNA from 1 species
GAUGAACGCUAGCUACAGGCUUAACACAUGCAAGUCGAGGGGAAACGGUAGAGAAAGCUUGCUUUUUCUAGGCGUCGACCGGCGCACGGGUGAGUAACGCGUAUCCAACCUGCCCAUCACUUGGGGAUAACCUUGCGAAAGUAAGACUAAUACCCAAUGACGUCUCUAGAAGACAUCUGAAAGAGAUUAAAGAUUUAUCGGUGAUGGAUGGGGAUGCGUCUGAUUAGCUUGUUGGCGGGGUAACGGCCCACCAAGGCAACGAUCAGUAGGGGUUCUGAGAGGAAGGUCCCCCACAUUGGAACUGAGACACGGUCCAAACUCCUACGGGAGGCAGCAGUGAGGAAUAUUGGUCAAUGGACGAGAGUCUGAACCAGCCAAGUAGCGUGCAGGAUGACGGCCCUAUGGGUUGUAAACUGCUUUUAUAAGGGAAUAAAGUGAGUCUCGUGAGACUUUUUGCAUGUACCUUAUGAAUAAGGACCGGCUAAUUCCGUGCCAGCCGCCGCCGAAA